rnacentral:rRNA from 16 species
GGAGGCGAUUUAGAGUAUGCAGAUGAGGUCACAAUAUCAAAAGCACUAGAAGGCAGAAGAGAAAUAUAAAAAUCGAGGUUAAUACCUCGAUUUUUGUAGUUUUUUGAGUUAAAUUCAAAUUAAUUUUGAUUUAGAUUUAUUGAAUAAAUUUCUUCUGUAUUGUAUAAUUUGUUGUAUAAAUCAUUUAAAAAUUUUGAUAGGGGUGCAACAUGAAACCAAUUAUGAACUUAGAAGAACAUAAUGCAAUGAAAGAAAAAAGAGUUAAAAAAAUGAAAUCAAAAGAUAAACCUAAAUAUGAUGAUUUUGAGGAUAUAAGUUUUUCUAAUAAGAAAAAAACUAAAAAAAAUGUACGAAAUAAAAAUGCUGAAUUUAGAAAUAAUUAUAAAAAUUAUCAGUAUGAUUAUGAAGAAGACUUUUAUGAACCAAUUUAAUAUUAAAUAAUUAGAAAAUAAAAAAUCCCUAAUAGAUAAUAUAUAUACUAUAGGGAUUUUAUUUAUUUUAUCAACCAGAAAUUAUAUUUAAAAUUAAAUUAGCUAUAUUUUGGGCUGAAUUUGACUUUCUUAUUGAUUUAAUAUUUCUUUUUAGCAUUUCUAAUCUGCUAGGGUCAUCUAUUAAAACUUUUAGUAAUAUUGACAAGUUAUAUUUUUUUGUAGUUCUAAGUGCUGCACCACAAUUAGAUAAGAAAUCAAGAUUCUCUUCUUCCUGACCUGGUAUAUAAUAAGGAACUAUCAUAGGUACAUCUUUUAAAAGAGCCUCAGUUGUAGUAAGUCCACCAGGUUUGCUUACUAAUACAUCUAUAGAAGCUAAAAUAUCAUUCAUCUUAUCAGUGUAUCCAAGAACACAUACAUUUUUAUCAUGAUAACGAGACAUAAGUUUUUUUUCGAUUUUUUCUUUUAGGCUUUCAUUCUUACCAGUAAUUACAAGUAUUUGAAAGUCUCUAUCAGUAUCCAGUAAUUCAUCAAGUGUCUCUUUUAUAUUUCCAGCCCCAAAGCUACCCCCCAUAAGUAAAACAGUUAAUUUAUCAGGAGAUAAAUUCAACUCAGAAAGAACAAUAUCUUUAUCUCUGUGAGAGAGAAAAGAUUUUUCAACAGGGAUUCCAAAUGUUCUAAUUUUACUCGGUUCAACUCCAUCAAACACCAAUAAUUCUUUUACAUAUUCAUGACCAACAAUAUAGUAAUCAAUUUCAUUUUGUAUCCAUGUAGAAUGAGUAGUAUAAUCGGUUAAUACAGAAAUAAGCGGAGGAACAUUAAUGGUAUUUGUAUAAUGUUUAUAAAAAUGCUCUGUGUAAGCAUUUGAUUCAUUAUUAUGUAAAUUAAAGUUUUUUUUCAAUGUACUUAGAGCAAUCAUUGGAAAAGGAUGCGUUCCUAUGAUCAAGUCUGGUUUUUCGCUUCUAAUAAGUUUUUUAAAUUUUUUAGCCAUGAAUGUUAUUAGUAGAUUAUCUUUAAAUUCAUUUUUUGACAAAAGAUUUGUUUCAGAUAAUCUAUAUACACUUCCAUAGGCUUUGGGAGUAUAUAUAGCAGAUUUUUCGUAUCCUCUUGAAAUUAUUUUAUCCAUUGUAUUAUUAACUAAUUUCAAACUAUCUAUUAUUUCACAUUCAAUUGGCUCUCCAUCAAGUGUUUUGGAAGUAAGUUCUUCUUUAAUAGCUAGAGCAGCCCUAUUAUGCCCACCACCAGUGGAAGCAGACAUUAUUAAUACUUUUUUGCUCAUAAUAAAAUCCUCCUAAAAUGUAGCAUAGUAUUUAUAUUAUAUUUUGAUAUAUAAAAACUGUCUUUGUGAAUAAGGUUAUUGAUAAAUUAUUUUUAAUAUUAAUCUAAUACAAGAUUGCAAAAAUUACAAGUGAAAGAAAUGUAAAUUAAUUUUAUCAAAUAUGUUAUAUUAAAAAUAUUCUUGUAAAUAAAAAAUUUAAAUAUAGAAUAAAAAGGAAAAUAGAGCAUAGAAUAUAUAUUAGUUUUAUGAAAUAAACAGGUUUACUUAGCAUUAAGUUUUAAAAAUUAAAGAUAAAGAAUACAUGAUAAAUAAAAAAAUUAAAAAAAGUAAAAAAUUAUAUUGACUAGAAUAGAUAAAGAUGAUAUAGUAUUACUUGUCCUUGAAAAAAGGAAAAAGAAAUAAACACGAACAUUGAAAAUUAAACAGUAGGUUAAUUUAUAUUAAGAAACAAACCAUAAAGCCAGAUAUUUUGAUAACAAUAGUAUCUGAGCCUGAUAAACUUUUAUUUGAGAGUUUGAUCCUGGCUCAGGAUGAACGCUGGCGGCGUGCCUAACACAUGCAAGUUGAGCGAUUUACUUCGGUAAAGAGCGGCGGACGGGUGAGUAACGCGUGGGUAACCUACCCUGUACACACGGAUAACAUACCGAAAGGUAUGCUAAUACGGGAUAAUAUAUUUGAGAGGCAUCUCUUAAAUAUCAAAGGUGAGCCAGUACAGGAUGGACCCGCGUCUGAUUAGCUAGUUGGUAAGGUAACGGCUUACCAAGGCGACGAUCAGUAGCCGACCUGAGAGGGUGAUCGGCCACAUUGGAACUGAGACACGGUCCAAACUCCUGCGGGAGGCAGCAGUGGGGAAUAUUGCACAAUGGGCGAAAGCCUGAUGCAGCAACGCCGCGUGAGUGAUGAAGGCCUUCGGGUCGUAAAACUCUGUCCUCAAGGAAGAUAAUGACGGUACUUGAGGAGGAAGCCCCGGCUAACUACGUGCCAGCAGCCGCGGUAAUACGUAGGGGGCUAGCG